AGUGUAUAAAUUGGUUUGAAAUUAUUAAAGAACGUCGAAACAUGUGUCACCCAACCAAACAUCCUUCAGUCACUCAUGUCUGGACUCUGAACUCUUAUGGCCUCCUCUAACCUCUAUUCUCUUCUCUCUGUGAUCGCAUUUCAUAUUUUCUUCGCUAGUCCCCCACGGCCAACUGCCUACCGUAUACAAACUCCCUUUUCUUUUUCGAAUGAGACCCCUUUGUCAAAUCCCACGUACAUAAACAAAGCCCUGCUCUUCUCAUUCCUUUGUAAAACUAUUUGCCAUCAAAUAUCUCUCUCGAUUCUUUCGUAUCGAAUUCCUACUCCUUGUAUUUUAUUUCAGUCGAACAAAUUUUCAGUUUCUUUCUUACUCGCUAUUUCUUAGAUCGGAUUUUCAUGGUGGCUGGUCUUGAGCGGCUCACGCUGACGUCUCUUGGAAAGGUUUUCGAUCAAUUCCCUUAUGCUCUAGAACCCCACCCCCUUCACUAAUUUGUUUCGAGGAUUACUCUUUUGGGUUUGUUCAUUUAUGGUUUGUUUUGGGUGUCUUGAAAGAAGUGCCAGAAAAUAACCCAAAGUGUGAGAAAACUGGGAGCUUGUCUGAAUUCGAAGUGCUUGUUCCAUUGUAAUGGGCAUGAGACGAUAGAACAUCAAGAAAUGGCGCUCACGGUUCUGAACACUAUUCCGUUCUUGCUACAAUCCUUCCUUGAUAAUGACUGGAGCAGCUGUUCUUGUUGUUGAUAGACUUGGGAGGAGACCUUUAUUACUUGGAGGUGUUUCUGGGAUGGUAAGUCCUUACUUCUCUACAUGAAUGUUUGGUUCGUCGAUUCUCAAUUCCAAACCAUUGAGAUAAAUGGAAGCAGCAUUUGACUUGUAUACUGAAAAUCACUAGUCCAGUCUAUCACAUGCGAUCCCCAUUUCAAACUACUUGCCUUUAAACCUUUUGAUAAAAUUAGGUCUCUUUCUUUUCAAAAAGAAAAGAAAAGAAAAGAGAAAAAUCGAAAGAGGCGAGUUUAAGGCAUGGGAGUUCCAAUUGAUCGAUAAAAUCUUAUUUACCAAUCAGAAAAAGGCAUGGGAGUUCCAAUUAUUUGAAAAUUGGACCUCUGAGCGACUUAUUAGGAGCAUCAAUGAUGCAUAGUCUCCUUUACAAGUGAAAAUAAAAGUCAACAAACUCGCUACCAUCCCAGAGGCAUUGUAUUCUCUACCAAAGGACCCAACCAUCCCAGCCCUCUCCGCUCAAAGGGGGGUGGAGCUUUGGCUCCUCCCUCCCUCCUUCCUUCCCUCUGUCUGGCCUACGCCAGAACUGUCCAUAGGUUUUUUUCCCAGUUUUCUUUAGUUUUCUGUCCAUAGCACCAAGAUGUGCCAAUCUACUGCCUACUGGCCUCCUACAACCGCCACUGACCCCACCAUUAGAUUCUCCAGCAGCCGAUCUGUUGGGCGGUAGAAGAAAAUCGACCAAAAGAGCGGCGUGUACGUCUCACGCUUCGCCGAACCAUGGGGAGUCUGACACCGCCACACGCGGCACCAUCGGGACCAAUAGCUUCGGAUCUCUCAAAUCCGACCUUUACCUUCUUGCCAAGAGUGGCACGUGAAUUACACGCGCCUCCACAACCAGUGACGGUUGUUCGCUAGCGAAUCGACCCAUGUUUCGGUUGCUACUUUUCUAUGUUCCUGCUUUCCCUAACCAAGGAUCAAGAUGAAGUGGUCGUGAAAGUCUCCUUCAACCAGUCCAGACUAGCAAAAUGCAGCACACACCAAUCCACUGUGACUUGUAGUCUUAGUGUUAUAGUCUAUUAAAACCGCUUCAAGCGGCUUCCCCUUUGUGGGAAAUGGGUGGGGAGCCAAAUUGUUGGCUCUAGAUCCCUUUUUUUUAUUUUUCUUGUGUUGCUUUUGUUUGUUUUGGGAUGACUGUUGGGAGCUCCCACCCCAUUGAAUCUAGUAUCUAGUAACCACUUAAUUUAUCUAUGAAAUGCUUGCUUAUAAAAAAAAAAAAAAAAAAGACUCCUUGUAACAGGUGAUCUCCUUAUUCGUUUUGGGGUCAUGUUACCUUUUCCUGGAUGAUGUACCCAUUGAGGCUGUAGUUGCUCUGCUUUUGUAUGUUGGGUGUUACCAGGUAAAUAGAAAUUUAUUCUAUUCUUUACUAAUAUUCUCAUCCCAAAAUUUUGUGCUUUUGCAUGAUGAAACAGUUUUAUGCUAUUCACAGUGUAAAAUAUCAUUUUGUGUACAUGUGCUGGUGAAAAUUGAAAUACAGAUCAUGAUCUUGUUUAUGCCUGGCAUUUGUUUGAGGCAGAUUCCAUUAGUGAACAGUGAAGACUGUUAUUGUAGUGCAGUCCUUACCGCUACUGUUAAAUUAUUGGCAUAUUCCCCUUACUGUUCUCGUAGUACAAAUCUUUCCUGAACUUCCAUCAAAGUCGUGAUAAAUCUAUUUCUUCAAUAUUAGAAAUUCCCCUUCCCAGGAAACAGGAUCUACAUGUUAACCUUAUUUAUCCAAUGUUAUGCAAAAUUUCUUCAAUAUUAUUUAACACUUCAACAACAGUGGACUUUUGGUGUCUUCUCUCUCAUGGUCCUAGUGCAUAAAUUCUCGACUGGGAGACCAAACACAUAAAGAAUUAUGUAGAAAAAUCUACCUUUGGAGGUUUUUGCCUCCAAAUGUUUGGAAUUAUGUAUAAACAUCAUUCCAAAUAUUAAGAUUACCCCAAGCUCAAGGUUCAAAAAGUUGCAUUAGUCUUCUGCCUUUGGAGGUUUGUCCGGUUUACAUAUUAAAAACAACUUAUUUUUAUUUAACAGCUUUGAAGCAGAGAUAAUAGAAACACAAAUAUUUUACCUAGGGAUGUCCUCAUUAGAGUAAAGUGCAUCGAAGUAUGAUCUUUUAGGCCUCUAGGGUACACUAUUUAUUUCCUAGUGUCUAAAUUUCAUCUUUCCUCCUUGGAUGUUGUGGGUUUAGUAUAUACUUUUGGAAGACAAUAUGGACAGAAUAUCAAAUUUGAUAUUGAUCAAGGCUGCGAUCCUUCUGUGGAGUCACAACACAUAACCGGGAGAUGUACAUUUGCAUUUUCAAUAUAAAUGUAACGUACGAGGGUGUUAUUAAAAGGAUGGUUAUGUUCACAAGCACUUUAUGCAUCUCUCUGUAACAAGGCAAUCCUCAUAUCUGUCACCUUCUGCUGAAUGGUCAUGCAUUGAGAGAUGUGUGCCCUUCAGUGAAGUAGAACUUUGUGCCAUUAUUUAUUUAUUUAUUUUUUGAUUGGCACUGGGUGUUAGUGCAAUUAUUAAUUAGCUUUAUGAUCAUGAGAUAGUUGAUAAUGGGAGUUCUAUACGAGUUAGGUAGAAGCCAUUAACUUUUUGCUCUUGACAACUUGCAUAGUUGUCUCCAUUGUACCUUGAUAUAGAGCUGAUUCUUGCAAUUGUAACAUAAUAGUAUAAUUUUCCUUUAAUUGGAAAACGAUUGAAGAUGACGGGGCCAAAAAGAAAAAUAACUACUAUUUGAUAAUAAACCCAUCAUAUCAUUUUGUCACAUGUAUGGUGGAGAAUUAACAAUUUCUGUAGAUCAAGUCAGAUUAUUGAUUUUUUAGCCAAAUCUGGAAAGUUUUCAUUUAGUUUAUCCAAAAAAAAAUCAAUUAUUAACUUUUCAUGUCCUCUUGGUUUAGAAGUUUCAUUUCUCAUUCUUUACCACAUAACAAUGCAACUCUUGAAAUUGGUCUUGCAGUUUAUCCUUUGGUCCGAUUGGUUGGCUAAUGAUUUCAUAGAUCUUCCCCUUAUGCCUAAGAGGGCGUGGGCUCAGUAUUGCAGUGCUCGUCGAUCUUGGAGCAAAUGCUCUAGACAUUUGCAUUUUCCCCUUUGAAGGCAUUGCUGGGAGCUGGAAUUUGGUUCUACGUAUUUGGGGCAAUUGCUGUGUUAUCUCUUCUUUUCAUAUAAUUUUUUUGUGGUACCAGAGACAAUGGGGCUUACGUUGGGUUGAGAAAUCCCUGCACAGUUUCAUUCAAUGCUGGGAGAAACCAUUUAUGUUAUUAGUUCAUGGCUGUAACUAAAUAGUAUUGGAUAGCCAUAAGAUAAUAUAGAUGUUUCUGUUCUCUGUUCCUAUCAUAGCGUAGAAGCACCACACUAUCUUCAUGUGCACCAUGACGAGGGGUAGGAAGAUAGUGUCGUUUAGUGUUUACUCAUUUAGCAUUUCUCCCUUUCAACACCACCACGAGUUGUCAGUUAAGCCAGACUAUACCAUUUGGUACAUGAGAAGGGUUCGAUAUAACAUGUUGGGACAAUGCUUUAA